UUGAAGUUGAUCAAACCCUAAAAAUCAAUUUCAAACUCUACAAAACAUUAACCCUAGAAUUCAGUAGAACCAAAAUGGAUGAAACACCGACAAAAACACGUCUUCAGAAAUCAAAAGAGAAGAAAUUAGAUGAAAAAGGAAAAAUGAAGUCGAAGAAACAGAAAAAACCCGAUGAACAAGAAGAAAUUGAUAGUGUCGAAACACUAAAGGGGAUGCAAAUCAAGGCAAAGAAAGCAAAGAAAGCUGCACCAAAGGAAGUAUUGGGUGAUGCAGAUAAUGAGGAUGAUA